rnacentral:rRNA from 1 species
GACGAACGCUGGCGGCGUGCUUAACACAUGCAAGUCGAACGGAAAGGCCUGCUUUCCCUUGUGGAUUGCGGGUACUCGAGUGGCGAACGGGUGAGUAACACGUGAGUGAUCUGCCCCCAACUUGGGUAUAAGCCUGGGAAACUGGGUCUAAUUCCCGAUAGGACUGCAGGGUGGUGCCUGUGGUGGAAAACGAUUUUCUAGUGGUUGGGGAUGAGCUCGCGGCCUAUCAGCUUGUUGGUGGGGUAAUGGCCUACCAAGGCGGCGACGGGUAGCCGGCCUGAGAGGGUGGACGGCCACAUUGGGACUGAGAUACGGCCCAGACUCCUACGGGAGGCAGCAGUGGGGAAUAUUGCACGAUGGGCGGAAGCCUGAUGCAGCGACGCCGCGUGGGGGAUGACGGCCUUCGGGUUGUAAACUCCUUUCGGCCGCGAGGAAGCCACCUGGUUGGAAGGGUGGUGACGGUAGUGGUAGAAGAAGCACCGGCUAACUACGUG